rnacentral:rRNA from 1 species
UACGAAGGGUGCAAGCGUUACUCGGAAUUACUGGGCGUAAAGCGUGCGUAGGUGGUUUGUUAAGUCUGAUGUGAAAGCCCUGGGCUCAACCUGGGAAUUGCAUUGGAUACUGGCAAGCUAGAGUGCGGUAGAGGAUGGCGGAAUUCCCGGUGUAGCAGUGAAAUGCGUAGAGAUCGGGAGGAACAUCUGUGGCGAAGGCGGCUAUCUGGACCAGCACUGACACUGAGGCACGAAAGCGUGGGGAGCAAACAGG